UCUAGGGGUCCUCUGGACACGCAGCCGCUUAUUCCCAUUUUACAAAAGAGGACCAUGGGGCUACAAUGGAGCCCCAGACCCCGGCCACAAGCUGGAGGAUGGGGCUGCGCAGGGAGGCUGCGGCUGUGGAGGGAGGGGCCCGGGUCUGCAGUACUGCCCGGGAAACAGACCUCGAAGCCAGGCCCUCCUUUAUGAGCGGUGGCCCCCACUCAGUGCUCCGAAUCUUUGGGCCCCAUGAACCCGGAGCGGGUGGACCAAAUUUCCUCUGCCUCAGCGGAGUUUCACAUGCAUGAGGAGUAGCGGGCUGGAGACAUGGCCGGUCACUAGGGAGGAGAGAGGACCGCCAGUGUGGGGAGGAGCCGGGACAGCACACCAGAGGCCCCCCUCAUGCACAGUGAUAAGGGAGCGUGGGAACCCAGCGGGCAAGCGGGGGCGGCUCCCCCAAGGAACUUUCCAAAACAAGCCAGCCGGAAAGUUUCCACCACUGGAGCUGGCCCAAAAGGUGGGGAGUUUGGGAAUGUUUGCAGGAAAGGCAGCCGGGGCCUGGUCUUGGGGACUGGGGGCUCCAAGAGUCUGGCUCUUGGAAAGGGCCCGACUCUGAAGUAUGAAGGGGACCAGGACCGGGGCACCUCCAGUUGAAAGGAACUCACGGAGGAGGCUCUACAGAGCAGGGUUUCCAGAGGAAGUGGCUGGUGGAAGGGGUUUUGAGGCAUGAAGAGGAGUUCACCCGGAGAAGACUAUAAGCAGGUGCCUGAGUCACCUAAAAGCCUUGGGGAAGGGGCUCCCACUCUGAUGACAAGGUGGCAGUGGAAGGCAGGCACCAGUCUGGAGACCAUGCUGACCCCAGGGGCUGCUAGGAGAACAUCUGGUGUCUCCCUGGCUUCUGGGAGAUUCCAGCUCAGUCACACAUCAUGAGACAUAAAUUAGAUUAACCAGUCACAUCUAUGCAACCACACCACUGGGGCUCAGAACCCAGCUCCCCCAAAAUGCCAUUUUGACAUGCAACCGGAAUGCUUGUCCCCACGGCACCUGUCUUCCCCCACCCGCAGCACUGAGAGUGCCUCGGAGCUGCGACUCUGACCUGCCUGGUCUGGUAGCAGAUAAGAUCCCAGUUCAGGAGUCCUGCCUCAUCCCUGGGAGGGAGGACUCCCCACAGAAGGAGGCGAGAAGAAUCUGGACGGACAGGCCUCGCUGGGUGUCCAGACCCACUGUUUCCAUGACAACAGCCACUUUUGUCCAAUACCUUUCUCCAUGGCUGUCCGUGCUUCAUGGAGCCCAGGCCCAGGACGUGUCCCCUGGAUUCUGUUUCUGAAGGCUCCUGGUCACCUGAGACCCUGAUCUAAGUUUGUUCUUUCUCUUUACUCCGGGGAUGGGAGCCGGGCCUCCUGCGUGCCAGGCAGUUGCUCUGCCACUGAGCUCUGCUCCAGCACCUCUGUGGUCCUUCGUCACAGGAGUCAGGGUGGUGGCCCUUACCGGGGUGAAGAAAGGCACUGCAGGCCCUCCAAGACUUCCGCACAGUCCCCUAAGAAAGGUUUGGGUUCCUUCGUGGUAGCACUGGGUGGUGGCAUGGAUGGAGAGAGCAAGGGAGGUCCAAGGCCCCAUCAUGCCCUUCGUAUGUCCCCUGUGUGGCUGUCAGCCAGUCCCGAGUUCUGAGAGCUGUCAUCCAACCCAAGGCGGGGGUCCUGGGAGUCCCCUGAACAGAGCCUGUGGCUGGACAGAGCUGUCAGCAGCGAGAAUGUCCAGGGGCCUGAAGUGGGGGCAGCCUGUGCGCUGAGCCUCUUCACCUGGAGUCGGACAUCGGAGGACGAGGGCAUGAUUGCAGCUUGAGGCCAUGCAUGGCACCAUGGGGACAUAUGCAGCAAUGAGGAAGGCCCCAGGCCUGGCGUUCCCAGGGCGGGCUGGGCGGGGGCAGGAGGCAGCCCCACGAGCUCACAGGAGCUCACGGGAGGCGGGAAGCGACAUGGCCUCGGCCCUGGGCCACCUCCUUCCUGGCAGAUGGUGCUGGGAGGUGAAGGUAGGGGUGUGGGGUGGCAAGGCUGAGGGAGGGGACUGGGCCCGUGGACCAGGGUCACUGUGGUGACAGAGGUAGGAAGAAAGGAGCGUUGUCCAGCCGGAGGAGGAGUGUGGCGGUAGCCCCAGGCCUUUCCUGCCUUGGUGUCCAGGUCACCAGAAAGGAGACACCCUUCUGAGCUCCCAGGGGUCCAGGCAGAGCAGCAAGGCCAGAGGUGGCAGGUGCUGGCCCUGAGGUGUGGAGAUGGGUGUUGUCCCCGGGAAGAACGGGAUCCAGACCAUCUUAGAAGCAGGGGACAUUCUGCCUCGCUGCCGGCCGGCCUCCCCCUGCGCCCCGCGGAUUCCUGGCCGCCUCAGAACUCGGGCCAAGAGGCUGCAGCCGCCCCAGGCCCCUGCACUCCACGCCUUUGUUUUUCCUUUUUAAAAUAAACACCCCAGCCCCCACCUUGUCCUUGGAGGCCCAGCGCCUGCGUCCUCCAGCUCCUCGCCUGGAACACAGGCCCGGAUGGUGGCUCAGGGGACAAGCCAGCCCCACGUGCCAGCCUUGGAGUUGCACACAACGAACCCCACCGUGGCCACUGCUUCCUUUACAGCUGGUUUCCGUGUCUUGGAGGGCAUCUGCCCUGCUGCCGGGGUAGCUUUGGACUCCUGGCUGCGCAGCCUCCCCCUCAGCCUCCCACAGAGCUGGGGCCCACCCACAGGCGACCUGCUGCUGUUUUCCCCAGAAAUGGGGUUGAAAAAUUCAGCAUUCCCGUGUUGAGUGUACAAAAAGGACACCAGGUGCUUAAGAAAAUACGAGGGGACUGAAGAUGCGACGCCUUUCAAUUGUAACAUUUGGCAAAAGUGAAAAAUUCUUGUAAACACCAACUCCAUGGCUCAAAAUAGUUUUUCUCCACAGUACAACAUUAAAGGAAAAAAACGUAUCAAUAAGUUAGACCAUCUUUAAUCAGCUAGAACUUUCGUCCAUCAACCCCGAAGCAGAACAGCUUCCUCCGAGGAGGCCACAGACGCCCAGGAGAGGGACCUGGAACGGGGCGGUGGAGGGCGGCCGGCCUCCUUCAGCAAGUCCUUCCACCCCCGAGGGAGGGGGCAGAGCCCGCCUGGGCCGCCCUCCCCACCCCAGAUGCCAAACAAAAUAACAGCUAUUGAAACAUGAAGGAUCAGUUUCCUCAGAGAUGUGGGGACCCCAGGGGUCCCAAAGGAAAGACACUGGGGCGGGUGGGACAUACGCAGGCGCCUCCACACAGGCGCCAGCUCUUUGGAAGCCACUGGGAGACACCCCCACGGUUUAGAAAAAUAGACGCAUCUGUGUUUACCCGCCGGCCCUCCCGCCUCACUGCUGUGGACGGCAGCGCCCCCCACCGUGACUGACCUGGUCACAGCUGCCCCCACCACAUUCCCGAGUCAUGGCUUCGCUUGGCCCUGAAAGUGAACACUCGCCUCGCCCCCCACACCUUGGAGGGGUCACAUACACACACGCGCACGCACGCACGCGCACACACACACACACAGUCCCCCAGUGCUUUGGGGGACACUAAGAGACUAGGCACAGCGACAAAGCAGCAAUUGGGUUAUCUGUGGAGCUUGUGCCCCAGAGAGGACAGAUAGGGCGUGUCCUCGGGUUCCUGCAGCUCUGUCCACGGGGCCCCAGCCCCUCCCUGAGUGCAAGCCCCAGCGGUGGCCCUGCUGGCACAACCCCAGGACCCACAGGUGGAUGGAGCCAGGGCCAGGGCACGGUCAGCAGCGCAAACCGCACGGCCCUGACGGCUCGGAACUGAGAGCAGCUGCGAGGGGGAAACCGAGGACCUUGGGACAUCGUGCUGCCGCUUGUAGCACAACACACCCCGGCCCUGAAACAGCAGGAUGGGCGGGGCCCGGAGCGCGGCCUCCUCGGCUCUGAGCAGCUUUCCAGGGGCGCUGGUAGAGUCCCCCUGACCGGAGCCUCGCAGGUGGCUUCGGAGCAGAGACCCUGCCCAGCCCACGGCCCUGGCCCACCAGCUCGGAUUCUCCUGGGAAGUCCCCAGCACUGUGCCUUCCGGUGGCGUCUUAAUACUGCGGGAAAGGACACAGGGUAGCAUCUAGACCCUGGAUGUCCAAGGAGAGGGAGGCACAGGUUUAGAAAAAAAGAUUUGCUUUCUCUUUUGUACAAAAAUAGACUUCAGUCUCUAGCAGUAGCUAAAAGUGGCUGACAUUGUAUAAAACUAGAAAAGGCAGGCAGGCUGGCCUCCGGUCUUCGGUUGUGGCGAGAGGGGAAGUGGGACCUCAAGGUGGGCUUCCGUGGGCUUGGCCUGCAGGGACUGCUGGGAGGCAGGGCGAGCCCGGGCUACCCCACUGGGCGAGCGUGGCGGGGCCUCAGGGCCUCCCUGACAGCCGGUGCUGGCUCAGAUGCGUACAUCUCCCGUGUUUAUUGUUUUAAAUAAAUCCUCUCUCCCACGCGCGCCCCCCAGCCCCUGGCACCCAGAGGGCCGGUGAGGUGGAGGGUGCCGGCUAGGGCCAGGCCUGCAGCUGCCGCUGGUCGUACUCGGCGAUGAGCCUCUUGAUGUGCGCCAGCUUGCUGUGCAGGUACUCGCAGCGGUGCUUCUCCUGGCUGUAGUUGGUGUUGGUCUGGAGAGAGAGCCACGCAGGAGUCAGCCGCCCGCCCAGGGCUUGAGGCUGCCCAGGCAUGUGGCCCCUGCUCGCCUGUGCCCAGCAGGUGAGGGUCCUCCUGGGACUGGGACCCUGCAGGCUGAGACAACAGCUCGUCCACCAGCAGAGCAGGGUCCCCCCAGCCAAGCCCAGUGGUGGCUCCCUUCCUAAAGACAGGGCCCCGAGACCCCCCACCCCCGCCCUCGACCUUGGGCACCAGCUCCGCUCAGGACAGGCUCAGGACAGGCUCGGCCCCUUGGGUGGAGGAGGCACCCUGCGGUUCAGAGAUUGGAAUCCACCCUCCUGCUCCAGACUCAUCUGGAAGCUGGUGCGGCUGACCCCAACUGCCCAACACAUGACUAUUCACCUUUUUGAUUUUUCGAUAUUCCUGCAGAAUCUGCCCGCGAGUGGUCUAGAGGGACAACAGAACAGCACAUGAGUCACGUCUGCAUCUGAAGGAGGCCAGGCUGAGCCGCCCUCUCGGUGCUCUGCACAGCGUCAGAAAGAGCAGUGGCCAUGUGGCGGACGUGCCCUGUGGGAGCUGGGGCAGCCUCCGGGGCAGAGCGGCUGCCUUCCCCCAAGCCCAGCGGGGUCUGUCCACAGUUCCGGGGCACAGGGUGCUGUGGAGUGGCCACAUGGGCUGCAGGAAGCGUGUGGGUCCCAAGCCCUCAGGGAGUCCCAUCAUCCCUCCAGUCCUCUGGAGUCAGACUGACCUCGGGCAGGGGACACAAACCUUGACCCUUACCAGGGCCAGCCCUGCAGUCGGGCAACCAGCUCUGAAAGGUGGCAAGUGGGGACAAUUGGUGACUGGGUGCGGGGCCUGAUGGAGGCUGUCGCUCAGCCAAACUUGUCAGGUCCUGACCCUUCCCACAGCCCGCCUGAACACUUCCUCGUGAGGUCCGCCCCAGGGUCCCGCAGCCCCAGCAGCCCCCGUGUGGCAGCAAGAAUCCUGUCAGGUUGGUUUGGCCGGAAUCCACCCCAGGUUCCCUCUCGGCCAUUUUCCAUCCUCUGAGGCCCGUUCCUUGCUCUGGCCCCCACCUGCCUGGGCUAUGUGGAGGCUGAGCCCUGCUCCCUUGCAAGCCUAUGGUGGCUUCCAGGUGGCCCUGUCCCUUUUCCUUAUCCUGCUUUAACAAGUGGCACUGAGUAGCUACUUCUUCCUGUAGCACUGCUAGGGCUGGCGCCUAGGGUCCUCAUGCCAGCUAGCGCCCUGCCACCAGGCCACACCCAGCCAGCAACUUCCUUCCUCAAGAGAUGCUUUUGCUGCGGAGGAGGCGCCACGUUCCUGAGCCCCGGGGCCAGGAGCUACAGGAGCCUCCACCCCCUCAGUGCCCUCUGCCCUCUGCGAUCACAGCGGUGGUGACAGGCUGUAGGUAGGGCCAGGCCUGUAGUCCUGCUCAUGAUGUGGGGUCCUGGGUUUGAGAAGGGGACCCACACGCCUCAGCUCAUCUUGCUCUUUUGCCUGCACAGGGGGUCGGUGGGCCCAGGUAUCUGUGAGGACAUCUGUGACGGGCUGGUUACUAUCUGGCGCUGGCCGUGUGUGACACCAGGGAGGGCAACGCCUGUGUGUCCCCCGCCCCAGGGCACAGGCUCGGCAGGGACUCCUGGGAGGGCUGAGGGAGGCGGCGGCCCUACCUCGUACUCCUCGGAGCCCUGCGAGAGCUGCCGCAGCUGGGCGUCCAGCUGUGUGAAGCGCCGCGUGAUCUGCUCGAUGCGGGCGUGCAGGUCGCGGUACUCGCUGUACUCAGCGUUGAAGUCGUUCUUGUAGCUCUGGCGCUGCUCGGAGGAGGAGAUGGCCGCGUAUUUUCUAGAGAGGAAAGAAAUGGGCCAUCAGGGCUCAGGGGGCUCCUGAGGAGAGCCACCAAUGGCCAUCCCAGGACACCCUGGCCACAGCUGUGUCCUGGGAUUCACAGAACAAACACGGAGCCAGGGGAGUCUCUGCCAAGCUGAGGAGCCGGGGACACUGGCCCCAGAGAAGCAGAGCCCCUCCCGAGGUACUCACAGCAGAUAGUCUGGUGUCUCUGAUGUGGACGAGGGCACGCUGGCGCUGCUGCAGGUCCCGUUCAGACCUGCAAGAGGAAGGCACAGCUGCUGGGUGUCCGCGCUGCCCUGGGCGGGGCUGGGACAGGCCCAUACCGCAGAGGCAGGGCAGAGCGGGUGCUGUGCCGAGGCCAGGUGGGAGCCAGGUCAGGAGGGUCUGAGGGGAGGGCAGGCCAGGCCAGAGCCCCACAGAGCACGUGCGCCCAGAUGCUGCCUCAGGGACACCUACAGUGAGCAACUGACAGGUCAGGGUGGCUGCGUCACUGUCCCUGUCCAGAGCUGGACGGCACCAGGCCUCUGCUGCUUCUACUAAUAGUAGGUUAAAGGUCACCGAGCUGAAACAAAUGGUCCCUGCCUGGCCUGGGUCCCGGGGUGUCCUGGUUUCUGGUCACAGAUGCAGCCCCGCAUCCUGCUCCUCCGACCAGGUGCUGGGCUGCGGCUUCUGCUGGAGAAGCAGGGGCCACACUGCUUGGAGGUCCCUGGGGUGGAGCUCAGGGACAUGGGAUCGUCAACAUGCGGCCCUUUAGGCAGAAGGGACCUAGUGAAGACCAUGCAGUCCACACCCAUACCUGGCGGCCAGUGUGCUGCCCUGGCCAUUUCACACGACACCCCAAAGCCGCCAAGACCAGGGAGGGGAGGGAGAAGAGGCACCCUCACCCCCACCCACAUGCUGUGACCAGAAUGAGGCUCAUUUCCCGGGGCCUUUCUCUCCAGAACACGCUCUCCCUUCCCAGUACAGAAAUGAGUGUGUCCCUUUGCGGUGUGGAAUGGGAAGGAUGAAGUACCGCUCUGCCUGGCAGAGUGACCUACCACUUCUUGGCCCUUCCCGUGGACCUUCCGGGACCCACGCCCUACUCCUGUAAGGCGAAUGCCGAUCAGAGGAGAGCGGCCUGGGCGUCUGCCAGGACAAGCAAGUUCCCCGAGCCGCGGUCCCAGACGCACCUGAGGCGCCCACGGCCUGAAGGUGGCCCAGAGCUCACUCCCUCUGCUCCCAUCCAGGCAGGGCUGCAGGGCUGCAGGGCAGCUCUUGGGACAGGCCCGUCCUCGGUAUGUAUCCACACCCCUCUGAAAGUCCCCUCCAGGAUGGCCACAAGUGGACAGAACAGUCUCCGCAGGGCUCUAAGCUGAUAUUCCCACCCUGAGCCACGCACGGCCAUCCUCAGCCCACAGGCCCGAGUUGGACAGCUGUGCCAACAUGUGAGGGGUGUGGCCAGCAAGGCAUCUCUGCCAUGGUGUAGCCCAUGCUCCUGCCAUGCCACGGGCAGCGUGAGCAGGGCCUCCCUGGGCAUUCUGGAACAGGUGACUGCCGUAUGCCAAGCCCAGCUGGCACCAGCUCAUUUAACCCUCAAGAUUUUCACCGGGUGGGAUGACAAGUAGGCAAACCAAGGCUCAGGGCCAGCCUGACCCAGGGCAGCAGGGACCUUGAAGUCUGGCCCUUGCCAAACCCUGUGGCCUCUGCGCCAAGCCCAGGCCCUGGUCGUGGCCUGCUGAGCUGCUCUUGCCAGGGGGCUUCUUUGGGAACAUGACCCAGCCGCUUCUCUCCCGUCUCUCCACCGGUUUGUCCUCUGCUCCUGGGCGGGGGCCCUGGGACCUACCCCGCACCCGGACCAACCUGGGCCCUGGACACAACGGGCUCUGCGCUGGCACGGCUGCUGGUGCCAUGCCUCACUUCCCUUUUAAUUGUUUGGCGCUGGGGAUGGAACGAGGGCCCAGCAGCACUCCAGCCACCGCUGGCCCCGCCCCCUCCCUGCUGCUCGCACAGGGUCUCCCAGGGCCUGGGAGGAGCUGUCAGAGGUCUGACCUGCACCUGGCAGGACCCUGCAGGGCUCCUAUUCCUCUGUUCCUGGCAGAGGCUGGGGAGGUGUGGCCUUACCGGGUGCAGUGGGACAACUUAUCAAAGCCGCAGUCCCAGGAACCCCCGUCUGGGAUCAUGCCCAGAGAAACAAUGCUGAAGUAACAACAGGCGGCACAGCCCGGCUGCCCUGGCCAGCCAGUGUUGGGGAGCAAGGUGGCUACUUCGGAUGCCACUGCCCUAGGAGGCCCCACCCCGUGUGGCUGCUCAGCGUCUGAAUGAGGCUGGCGUGGUGCGCUGUGCUAGUCCACACUGCUCUCUACAAAUCAGCAGGAACCAGGGGUCACUGAGCUGGACAGGCCACUGCCUGCUCGGCUCAAGUCCCCAGGGCUGUGAUCUUGGGCACUAGGUAUAGAAGACUUCACUGCCAGCCCUGCCUUUCUGGAAAGCACUGUGCUGGCCCACAUCACCCCUUGGUGGCCCAACACUGAUUCCCCAUCACAAAGUUUCCUCUGUUGGGCCGGGUGUGGCCCAGUGCCUGAGCCCCUGCCCAGCAUGCAAGGCCCAGAGGGUCCCCUGCUCAGCACAGGGCCUGGCAUGUUUCACCCCCUGGUCCUGUCGCUAGGAACCCGUUUCUGGGUCCCCUAGGGCUUCCCACCCCUGCCAGGAGACCCUGCAAUGCCUUCUAAAUCCUUCCUGCAUGUGCCCAAACCCAGCUCCUCCACAAGCCACACAAGCUGACCACAGCCCAGGUGCUGUCCUCUCCACCCUGGGUCUGCCUGGGUGGAGCUGGCUUCCCUGUCCCUCCACUUCCUUCCCUGGGCCCCAGCAGCCCCCAGCACCCCUGCUGCCUCUCAGCAGCCAGUCUCCUGCAGCGUGUUCCUCUCCACACUGAUCCCCUUCUGUGAGCCCUGCUCCCUGCUGAUCUGUGGCCUGCACACGGGCAGUGAAAGCCCUGGGGGCUGCCCAAAUCCCCACACCAAGGGGCAGACGGAGGAACAGCCGCUAGGACACAGCAGCCACAGGCUGCACGUCCGGGGAGCCUGACAGGGCCUUGCGGGCAGCAUGGCCAGCCUCCCUCAGACUCUAGCAGCCUGGACCUGCAUGACACCCUGCAAAAGGUGAAAACCACCAACUGCCCAUCAACAGAUGCCUGGAUCAGCACAGCGUGGUGCAGUCACCUGGCGGAACAGCACGGACGAACCUGAAAAGCACGAUGCUGAGUGACAAGAGCCCUACACAAAAGGCCACACAGCAUGUGCUUCCACUGGCAUGAAAUAUUCUGAACAGGCGAAUCCACAGGGACAGGACACACAUGAGUGGCUGCCAGGGGCUGGGAGAGGUGUGGGAGUGACUGCUGAUGGGGAUGGGGUUUUUUGGGGGGGUGGCUGAUGAGACGGCUCUGGAAUAGCAGUGAUGGCUGCACAGGUUUGAAUGUUCUCUGAUCAUUCACAUUAGAUGGGUGACUUGUGUUACAUAAAUUGCAUCUCAAUAAAGUUGUUAUUCCUUUGUAAUAUCCUCGGGGAGAAAAGACAAGAAAUAACCUCACUUUCAUGAAAAAAGAACAUCAUGCUGCCAAAAAGCAACAGGAAAAGACUCUUAGAAACUAGAAGUAAUGGCAGGACAACAACAGGCUAAGAGAAGCUGAAGAAAUCUCCCAAAAUUAUGAGAGAAAGAAAAACAGGGAAGGGGCUGGGGAUGUGGCUCAAGCGGUAGCGCGCUCGCCUGGCAUGCGUGCAGCCUGGGUUCGAUCCUCAGCACCACAUAC